rnacentral:rRNA from 1 species
AUCCUCCAAGGCUAAAUACUCCUGAUUGACCGAUAGUGAACCAGUACCGUGAGGGAAAGGCGAAAAGAACCCCGGCGAGGGGAGUGAAAUAGAACCUGAAACCGUGUACGUACAAGCAGUGGGAGCCUUGAUUUAUCAGGGUGACUGCGUACCUUUUGUAUAAUGGGUCAGCGACUUAUAUUCUGUAGCAAGGUUAACCGUAUAGGGGAGCCGUAGGGAAACCGAGUCUUAACUGGGCGAAUAAGUUGCAGGGUAUAGACCCGAAACCCGGUGAUCUAGCCAUGGGCAGGUUGAAGGUUGGGUAACACUAACUGGAGGACCGAACCGACUAAUGUUGAAAAAUUAGCGGAUGACUUGUGGCUGGGGGUGAAAGGCCAAUCAAACCGGGAGAUAGCUGGUUCUCCCCGAAAGCUAUUUAGGUAGCGCCUCGUGAACUCAUCUUCGGGGGUAGAGCACUGUUUCGACUAGGGGGUCAUCCCGACUUACCAACUCGAUGCAAACUACGAAUACCGAAGAAUGUUAUCACGGGAGACACACGGCGGGUGCUAACGUUCGUCGUGAAGAGGGAAACAACCCAGACCGCCAGCUAAGGUCCCAAAGUCAUAGUUAAGUGGGAAACGAAGUGGGAAGGCUCAGACAGCCAGGAUGUUGGCUUAGAAGCAGCCAUCAUUUAAAGAAAGCGUAAUAGCUCACUGGUCGAGUCGGCCUGCGCGGAAGAUGUAACGGGGCUAAACUAUGCACCGAAGCUGCGGCAGCGAUAUUUAGAUAUUGUUGGGUAGGGGAGCGUUCUGUAAGCCUGUGAAGGUGUACUGUGAGGUAUGCUGGAGGUAUCAGAAGUGCGAAUGCUGACAUAAGUAACGAUAAUGCGGGUGAAAAACCCGCACGCCGGAAGACCAAGGGUUCCUGUCCAACGUUAAUCGGGGCAGGGUGAGUCGACCCCUAAGGCGAGGCAGAAAUGCGUAGUCGAUGGGAAACGGGUUAAUAUUCCCGUACUGGUGAUAAUUGCGAUGGGGGGACGGAGAAGGCUAGGCUAUCCGGGCGACGGUUGUCCCGGUUUAAGAAUGUAGGCAGGUGAAUUAGGCAAAUCCGGUUCACUA